rnacentral:lncRNA from 1 species
GUGUGCCUUUGAUGUUCAUGUUUAAUUUAUGGAGAAACUCUGACCUAAUUUUAUCUCUCAAGAUCAGCCCUUAAAAUCUCACAUGCCCACCUCUUCUGCAACAGUCCCUGUCCCUAGAGGACUUGAAUAGUUUUCAUUCUGGCCUCCUGUCUCAUGAGUGCAGUUUAUUUUGAUUGUCAUCUUCUCCUGGAUAUAAAGAAAUCCUGGUGAUUUUUAUUUUCCACCUCAAUUUUCAUGAUCACCAUUAUUCUACUUAAACAAAGAAGCUGGCAAAUCCAAAAUUUGCAGUUCAAGUCCAGAGGUCAUCAGGCUGGAGGUCCAGGAAACAACCAGUGUUGCAGCUCAAGUCUGAAGCCUCUCUGCUGACAGGCUUCUUCUUGCUCAGAGUAGGCUUCAAAAUGGUGAGAAGAUAAUGAGAAAAGGAAAGAAUCUAUGGAUAAGAAGAAUUCUGAAUUAUUUUGGAUUAGCCAAACUCACUAUAAACUCUACUAUAAAUAGGAAACCCUGCCAUGUUGAAAGGAAUACAACCCAACAUGGAGUAGAAACAAGAAAUCAAGAUAUACACUCUAGGACAAGGAGCAAUAAGAAUUUGACUUAAAAUGGUUAUUUAGCAUGUAUUAGAGUUGCAACUGGAUUUUAUGUAGUUAUGAGGGAACCCUGAAAAAAGUACCAUUGAACAGAAAUGAGAUUUGGUUUCAGAACUUCAGCCCAAAUGCUAUUAAAUCUUUUGCAUUUCUUGAACUAUACCCCUUGUGUCUUUGUCAUAAUUUUCCAGAGGUCUUCUCAGUCAAUAUGGGUUCAGUUUACAUAAUCCUGUCAACUGAAUAAAGUAAAUAUGUAUUAGGCUUCUGAGUAAAGUGUAAUCAUAAGCAUUGCAUUGAUAUAAGAUAUAUAAACUCAAGGAUAUAAAGAAACAAUUUUUUUGUUCGUUUUGUUUUGGUUUUGUUUUAAGUCAAAGGAAAGGUGUGGUUCAGGAGUGAUAAAUUGCAGCCUGGUGAUCAAGAAGAUUUAAAAUUUAUCUCAACUUUACUAAAGUCUUCCUGACUAUAGGCCCCUGACCAAUCUUUUCUUGGAGCACUUACUUCAGAAAAAUUGCAAAUGUUAAUUUUUUAUUUGCUGAUGAUGUAAUAUCUGUCUCAAGUAUCUGGGAAUCAUCAAUUUGAAAAGUAAUAGGAAAGAAAGAACCCUUGUCUCCUAGUUUCAGUGAAAUGAUAGGAGUUGUAGAUAAAUACCAACUAGCAACACAAAUGGCCUAAUAACAUUGCACAACCUAUUUGAUAACAUCAUUGUCUUCCAGUACUUUUCCAGUAGCUUCCCCUGGUGCUUAAGAAUUUACCCAACUUCUGUUUGAGUGGAGUGGAGUCAUUCUUUCUCCUUCACAAUAGUGUUGAAUAAA